ACAAUUACAUGGGCAGCCCUACAACAACCCCGUCCUACCGGUUCUGGAAAGUCCUCCUUCUGCAAUGGCUUGAGAUCAGCACUGAAGGAUUCUGACACACCUGCCACCUAUUACGCCGUUGGUAAUAUCGGCACCACACUAACUAGCAGGUUCCAGUCUGCACGAUACGGAGAUCACUGGAUUAUUGACAUGCCAGGAAUAUUUGAAUCCAGUGAUUUCAAAACGGAGAAUAUUGAAGCUAUUACAUCAGGCAAGGUUCGCUUUGAUGACCAGAUAACUAAAACUCUGGAGGUGGAAGACGGCUAGAUGUCAUCAUAAAAUUAAGGGGAGAAGGUGCCCUGUCCUACCACCUGGUGCUGACUCACCUGGAUGAGUGUGACCCACAGUCCAAGGACCCAGAUAACAUCCCUAACCUGUACAAUUCACCUCUAGUACAGGAAGCAGUGAAGAACAUGUCAGAACAAACUGGCAUUCCACCAUACUCCAUCAGCUAUGUCAAGAAUUAUGUGACGGAAACAGAAACAGACACCAAGACCAAGCUGCUUCACUUGAAAGCUCUUGACAGAAUCCUCACCUCUGCAGCUGACCAAGUGGAGAAGAUGAUAGAUUUAAAACUUCAGUCGAGCAUGUAUGAUGAUGCCCCUGAUGCCUAGGAGAGAAAGCUGCAUCUGCCGGCUGAGAUAUGUUCGUCCGCUGUGGUAUAUAUUUCUGCCCAGCGAAUGUAAAACCAUGCUCUGUUAUGUAAAUAGAGGCGCUCGCGCAUUAUAUUAAUUAGUGUUCUUCACCAUGGACAUUAUGAUGUCUUGAAAUAUUGAGUAAAAACGAAUACGUGCAUGGUAUUAUCAGAAGAGAAAGGAAACAACAUAUUGAUAUUUUCAAUCUUUAAACUCAACAAGACAGUUGUGAAUACAAAACUUCGACCAAACACAUAUAAUUACGAAAGGAUGUGAUGUUUGUGACAAAACAUUCUAAACUCUGGAGUACAUCAAAUGUAAAUAGAUAAACAGUUUGUAACGUUACAGAACUACUAUGCGUUGGAAAAUAAAUCACCAGUUUGACCGGUCAGGCAAUUUAAGUCACAAUAAACAACACUUCGACAACCAGUAGGUAGUCUAAUUUGAUGAGAGUAGUAUUUGUAGGUUGUGACGUCUUGUGAUGAUUUGUAGUUCUGCUUCAGUCAAUGUUCUCGUGCAUGCGUAUGAAAUAAAUGUGCACCAUUUAGAUUAUUCUCAUUUAUUCACGCUCUCUGCAACAUAUUCUCCUGAUAUGCUUUUACACCUUAUUCAUUAUGGCCAAACUUCUUAAGACAUUAGACUGAGCGAAAGCAGUUUCAGAAGAAUGGAGAUACACUGUCCAUGUCACAUGCGGUUUCGGCUCCGCAUUAUUACACCUCGACCUACAACUGUCGGAGUAUAUAGUAUAUGGAUUCUUUUCCAGCUAGGGUUCAAGUGUCCAUACUAAUAGGAGAGGUGCAGUGCAAAGUUUGAUUUUAAUAUUUUUAUUUUCUGAAACAUCAUAGCUAUUGUUCGUUUUUUUAAACUUAGAAUUCAUUUCUAUACCAAUUGGAGAACUGUAGUGAAAGUUUGGUUUCGAUAAGUGGAUUUUCUACGAAAAUGUUUUGUACUUUGAAACACGUUGGAGUCGAAGUCGUGGGUACUAGUGAGCCUUUUGCCUUGAUCCUUAUGGUAGCCACGAAUGAUGUAUAAUGUGUUCAUGUAUUAAUGUUUAAUGUAUUAAUGUUUAAUGUGACACUAUUCAUAAAAGAUGAGUGCAUUCAUGAGUGUAUUCCAAAAGUCUUCUUUCUUCAUAAAUGAGGAAAAUAGGUGAUUAUUACGGCAUGUACAUACAAUUUCACUCCAUGAAUGAGUAGUAACGUUGCUGUUUACAAGACAGCGAGAAAUAACCAUGAUUCAUGAUUACAUGCUGUUGUAUCUUGACAACUGAUGGCUACGAUCUUUCUUGUAACUAACGGGAUUUUGUAUUAGAAGACUGGAAGUGUUAACGCAAGUAUUAAACAUGUUUUGAGUAUUUGUUAUUGGGAUUGUGUCAACGUGAACUGUUUUCUCUUCUAUGCUUAUCUAUGUAUGUAUGAUUUUACCUAAUUCUACCUUUCUUGUUAUAAUCACAUUAUGUAUUGCUGUAGUUUGUCGUGUUGGCUUGGUGUAUACUUGUUCUUUCAAUAAAUACCAUUAGAAAAAUGUG